GGGGGUAUAGCUCAGUGGUAGAGUGCAUGUUUAGCAUGCACAAGGUCCUGGGUUCAAUUCCCAGUACCUCCA
rnacentral:tRNA from 1 species